AUACGAAGGGGGCUAGCGUUGUUCGGAAUCACUGGGCGUAAAGCGCACGUAGGUGGACUAAUUAGUUGAGGGUGAAAUCCCGGGGCUUAACCUCGGAACUGCCUUCAAUACUGUUAGUCUUGAGUCCGAGAGAGGUGAGUGGAAUUCCUAGUGUAGAGGUGAAAUUCGUAGAUAUUUGGAGGAACACCAGUGGCGAAGGCGGCUCACUGGCUCGAUACUGACGCUGAGGUGCGAAAGCGUGGGGAGCAAACAGGAUUAGAAACCCUAGUAGUCC
rnacentral:rRNA from 1 species